UACGGGGGGGGCAAGCGUUGUUCGGAAUUACUGGGCGUAAAGGGCUCGUAGGUGGCCAACUAAGUCAGACGUGAAAUCCCUCAGCUUAACUGGGGAACUGCGUCUGAUACUGGAUGGCUUGAGAUUGGGAGAGGGAUGCGGAAUUCCAGGUGUAGCGGUGAAAUGCGUAGAUAUCUGGAGGAACACCGGUGGCGAAGGCGGCAUCCUGGACCAAUAUUGACGCUGAGGAGCGAAAGCUAGGGGAGCAAACGGG
rnacentral:rRNA from 1 species